rnacentral:tRNA from 3 species
GGGCCCUUAGCUCAUCUGGUAGAGCGCCUCUUUUGCAAAGAGGAGGUAAGGAGUUCGAGUCUCCUAGGGUCCACCA